UAAUACGAAGGGUGCAAGCGUUAUCCGGAUUCAUUGGGUUUAAAGGGUGCGUAGGCGGGGCAAUAAGUCAGUGGUGAAAUCCUGCGGCUUAACCGUAGAAUUGCCAUUGAUACUGUUGCUCUUGAGUAGGCUCGACGUGGGCGGAAUGUGCCGUGUAGCGGUGAAAUGCUUAGAUAUGGCACAGAACACCGAUAGUGAAGACAGCUCACGAGGGCCAAACUGACGCUGAGGCACGAAAGCGUGGGGAUCGAACAGGAUUAGAUACCCUGGUAGUCCACGCCGUAAACGAUGAUCACUCGUUAUUGGCGAUAUACGGUCAGUAACCUAGCGAAAGCGUUAAGUGAUCCACCUGGGGAGUACGAUCGCAAGAUUG
rnacentral:rRNA from 1 species